rnacentral:rRNA from 1 species
AGUGAACGCUGGCGGCGUGCCUAUACAUGCAAGUCGAACGGACAAGUAAGAGCUUGCUCUUAUGAGUUAGUGGCGCACGGGUGAGUAAUGUAUAGCUAAUCUGCCCUACACUAGAGGACAACAGUUGGAAACGACUGCUAAUACUCUAUACACCUCUCUAGCAUAAGUUAGAUAGGGAAAGUUUUUCGGUGUAGGAUGAGGCUAUAUUGUAUCAGCUAGUUGGUGAGGUAAUGGCUCACCAAGGCUAUGACGCAUAACUGGUCUGAGAGGAUGAUCAGUCACACUGGAACUGAGACACGGUCCAGACUCCUACGGGAGGCAGCAGUAGGGAAUAUUGCUCAAUGGGGGAAACCCUGAAGCAGCAACGCCGCGUGGAGGAUGACACUUUUCGGAGCGUAAACUCCUUUUGUUAGGGAAGAACAAUGACGGUACCUAACGAAUAAGCACCGGCUAACUCCGUGCCAGCAGCCGCGGUAAUACGGAGGGUGCAAGCGUUACUCGGAAUCACUGGGCGUAAAGGACGCGUAGGCGGAUUAUCAAGUCUCUUGUGAAAUCCUAUGGCUUAACCAUAGAACUGCUUGGGAAACUGAUAAUCUAGAGUGAGGGAGAGGCAGAUGGAAUUGGUGGUGUAGGGGUAAAAUCCGUAGAGAUCACCAGGAAUACCCAUUGCGAAGGCGAUCUGCUGGAACUCAACUGACGCUAAUGCGUGAAAGCGUGGGGAGCAAACAGG